rnacentral:rRNA from 1 species
GACGAACGCUGGCGGCGUGCUUAACACAUGCAAGUCGAACGGAAAGGCCCUGCUUUUGUGGGGUGCUCGAGUGGCGAACGGGUGAGUAACACGUGAGUAACCUGCCCUUGACUUUGGGAUAACUUCAGGAAACUGGGGCUAAUACCGGAUAGGAGCUCCUGCUGCAUGGUGGGGGUUGGAAAGUUUCGGCGGUUGGGGAUGGACUCGCGGCUUAUCAGCUUGUUGGUGGGGUAGUGGCUUACCAAGGCUUUGACGGGUAGCCGGCCUGAGAGGGUGACCGGCCACAUUGGGACUGAGAUACGGCCCAGAAUCCUACGGGAGGCAGCAGUGGGGAAUAUUGCACAAUGGGCGGAAGCCUGAUGCAGCAACGCCGCGUGCGGGAUGACGGCCUUCGGGUUGUAAACCGCUUUCGCCUGUGACGAAGCGUGAGUGACGGUAACGGGUAAAGAAGCACCGGCUAACUACGUG